rnacentral:rRNA from 1 species
GACGAACGCUGGCGGCGUGCCUAAUACAUGCAAGUUGAGCGCUGAAGGUUGGUACUUGUACCGACUGGAUGAGCAGCGAACGGGUGAGUAACGCGUGGGGAAUCUGCCUUUGAGCGGGGGACAACAUUUGGAAACGAAUGCUAAUACCGCAUAAAAACUUUAAACACAAGUUUUAAGUUUGAAAGAUGCAAUUGCAUCACUCAAAGAUGAUCCCGCGUUGUAUUAGCUAGUUGGUGAGGUAAAGGCACACCAAGGCGAUGAUACAUAGCCGACCUGAGAGGGUGAUCGGCCACAUUGGGACUGAGACACGGCCCAAACUCCUACGGGAGGCAGCAGUAGGGAAUCUUCGGCAAUGGACGAAAGUCUGACCGAGCAACGCCGCGUGAGUGAAGAAGGUUUUCGGAUCGUAAAACUCUGUUGGUAGAGAAGAACGUUGGUGAGAGUGGAAAGCUCAUCAAGUGACGGUAACUACCCAGAAAGGGACGGCUAACUACGUG